UUCCCUCUGGGAGAGGAGGAAAGUGGAAAUCCAGCCUCCUGGAGCCCCUCACCAGCCCUCAGCUCCUGGCCGACAGCACGGAGGCUGCUCUGUGCCACCCGUCAAGGUGAGUUUUCACCAAGCAUUUUUCUUGUUCGCACUUGAGAGCUGUUCCUGUAGUACUUCCUAGCUCUUUUAAAGUUCAUUUGGGUUUUCUUUUUUUUUCUUCCUCCUCUUGGCGUAUUGCAGUUGUCAACUUUCCCCGUGGCUUUUGCCAAGUAGGGAUUAUUGGCACAAACACAGUGCGUGUUUGCUUCUCAGGACAUGACUUGUUUUAAGUCUCUUGUUCAGUGACUGCCUGAGCUCUUACGUCCCUGUCCCAUUUCCCUAGGUUAGCAGGCUCUUCUCCAUCAGCUCCAGUGUCCGGACUAAGGGGAAAGAGCUUAGACGAGCCACUCUCUAGCAAAACGUCACUUAAAGCUGUUGCUGUUCCAGACGUAGUAAUUGCAUCCACGUGGGCUGUGUGCCAUUCAGUGUCUGCUCUGGUCUCUGUCAUGACAACGAGUGCCUGGAGAUUUGCAAACACAGAAAGUCACAAAAAGCGAUUAUGGCUGCACUACCGAGCCAAAACUCUUGACUGCCUUCUCCAUCCAAGUUCUGCACCCGUGGCUGCUGACAGCACAAAGCUGUAGCAUUCAGCAAUUUUGCUCACCUCUCCCUUUGAAAAUGCAGCUUCACUUGCCUUCCAACUCACCUUUCCAAAGCUUUCUGAAGGCCUUGGCAUCGGGACUACCCCUGGCAAGUGUCACCAGGCUGGCUACGUAGGCUUGCAGACUGGGGUAGGCACCGACAGCAGAACUGCACACCAUGGUGUAGCACCGCCAUGCGGCCCCGCUACCUAACAUGAAUCCCAGCUGCCUAGGCUGGUGCAGGCCUGAGUAGGUCACAGCUGCCUCCCAGCUCCUCCCUGUGCCACUGGAGAGCAGGGUUUUGGUCAGAUUUCAUGUGUUUCCACUGACAGACAGAAACCUAAGUGUUGUUGCCCUUUCAGCUGCUUGCACCGAUGUGUAACGAACCUGUAGACGUGUGUACAAGCAGCAGCGCUUUGAAACCGUGACUUAACUGGGUGCCUGUGAGGAUAGGCUGACUGCGUGCAGCUGACAGCUGCCUAUCCCCGUUAGUGCUUGGACAACUUCUCCAAGACCGCGGCCCGCGGCUGUGGCUGUUUCCUCCAACUGCAGCCAGCCCUGGGCAGUGAGCCCUGCCGGUAGGUGUGCGGCAGCAUGAGCCUCUCGCAGCAAGGAACUUGCCUGCGCAUUUAUGAACCCUGCACGUGGUGUUUGUUGUGAGCCUUUCGUCAAAUCAUUCAGCUGACAAUGAAGAGAACUGACCUGACGGUGGCAAGAGCCGUUCAGUCUGGUGCUGUGGGUUUUGCAGCAGGUACAUACAUUUCUGUGGCUUCUCUGAGUCUCUGCAUCACUGCCAUACAGCUGGGGAAAUGCUGCCCAGGCAGAGGUUCCUGGAGCUCCUCCAUCAGUGACAUACAGAAUCAUAUUUAUAUGAUCUGAAGAGAAACCAAAGUAUUUCAUGGACUGGAAAAGCUCAGCUACUUUUGGAGAAUAUUAAUCUUUAUCAGUAGUAAGGAAAUAAUUCCCAAUUGUGAGGCCUAUGAGUGCUGCCAGUAUAGUAUUCAAUCAACAUUCAGAAAACAUUCUGUCUUGCCUCUGAAGUCCCUGCAGUCUUUGGCAAAUUACAUGUCAUGUGCCUCAAGCGUGCUCCUGCUUCCUCCACUACAAAUGAACAAGUAAGGCCAGAGAGACUUAUCUGUGUCCUAUCUAGUUACAGCAUAAAAAUGAGUAUUUUUUCCUCCUGCAACUUCGCCUCUAGUGUUCUAGGUCUUUUGCAGGAGCAAAAUUGUUUUCUGUUUAUUGGUGAAUACACUUUAGUGUUUGGCUAGGGGCUUUCGGCUUUUGACCUCUCUUCUAGAAGCUGCUGCUGGAAAAGACACUCUCUAUCAUAAUUUGCCACCAGCUAAUAGAUUUUACUAGAACUACUUUUUACUUUAAAAAAAAAAAAUCACUCGACUGAUUGUGGGAAGCACAUGAUGGCCUCCAGCUUGCUUUUGUGAAUCUGCGUAACUUGCCUUGGAAGAAGUUCUGGACAGCAGACACAUAACUGAUGCUCCUCGUGAUUUACUGUGAUAAUCGAGAACUUAAAACAGAAGCCCGGCCCUGAACCUUUUCACUACAAGGAAAACAGGACCUUUGCACUGUCGGCUGAGCUCAGAGCCUCCAUCCGUGGCUCAGCCUCUUCUCAGGUGCAAAGAGCCCCAAAGUCCACGGAAAUCAAAGUCAUGCUGAUGGCAGAGCGUUUUUCACUGAAGUAGGCGGAGACCAAGUGCUUCACUAUGACACGAGAUUUCUCGUGUUGACCUCCUCGUAAAAAAAAAAAGAGAAGGCACCCAACUGGUGGAAACAAGACUCUAAAUGCCAGGAUCACCAACAACAUGCCAGCCAUGGCUCAAAGUACAAUCCGUGAUGGCUGUUCUGGAAAUGAAGUGAGGAGACACAACAAGCCAGCAGCCGUUCUCGACUGCGUGAGUGUUGUAAUCGCAUUGCUGCUCCCUGAGCUCAGCUGACACCAGGUACAGGUAAACAUCCCUCGCUGCCUGGAUGGGUGACAGUACAUAAAUCUUGGGAGCACUCUAGGGAAUAACAAGUCUUUUGCAACUUUGCCUUUGAACUCCGAAGGAGUUGUGUGUGCUUGGUUGAUAGACGGCGGCGCGGCGUGGCCCGGCCGUGCGUGAUGGGGCAGCGCGGCUCCCAAGGCCUACCAGAGGCCUCGUCCUCACCCGGAGGAGGGGACAGCCGAGCCGCACACAGGUCUUGACACCCACAGCUGUAGAAGCUGCCACCUCCUUUCCGAACGUGAUACCGCCUGCACGGAGCUGGCCUGCAGUGUUUUCUGAAGCUUGGUGCUGGGCCAAAAGCCAUUCUGCAGUGCCUGCCCAUGCCAUAUAGGUGUGUAAUAUUAACUUACCUGGUUUCUGCUGCAGGCUCCUCCACAGCUGCUAACGUAUCUCCACGUGUUAUCAGUACGUCUCUUCUACAGACUUCCUCAGACUGGGUUUAAGGGACAACGUGUUCCUGUUCGGGAGAAGCAAGGGGAUGUCCUGCCCUGCUUGUGCUGAAUCACUCUUACCUGGCAAGGGCUGGCGGAAUGGCGAGGCCAUAUUUUAUUGUAGUGUACUACAGCUGCAGAAAAAGUAUUGGAUUUGGGGUUUAUAUCAGACAACUAGUUCCUGGUCAGGUUGAUGAAGUCUUUAGGUGGAAGACUUUGCCUUCAUAUCUCUUUGUAAAACAAACGCUCUCUGAGUAGUGGUAAAAGGACAAAUGUGCUCAGUUGUGACGCUUUAAAUCAUACAAACCAUUACCAAAGACAAAUGACAAGAUCACAGGAGGUUACUCUGGUGCAGGGCUCCUUCCUGGAGCAAACACCACGAGACACAAUCAACAUUCACACGGCGUUCAGCCCACCACAAUGCAGCGCCUCCAGCUGGGUCUUUGGAGGCGCGCUAGUAGGAAUAUUAAAUCCCACUGAACACCUUCUUAUGAUAUUCAUAAUUUAACAACAGCCAUGCACAUGUGUGACCAAUACUGUGGACUGUGACUGUGGGGAACCAGAUCCAACCCCCCCAAUGAUGCUGAGGGCUGUGCCACGACCCCUGCUCAGCCCCUGCUCCUCUUACCAUGGUUGCACCGUGGUGGCUGGAGCCCUCUUAGGUGCUGUCAAUAUUCAUCAGAAGCAACUUCUUAGAAGGAGCGAUGUGGGAAUAAGUGUGUUACUGUGUGAGCUGUCAGCAGAUGUGCAAAGGACUUUUUGUAUUGAAAAGGUGAAAAGAAAAAAAAAAGCAUUAAAAAUAUCAUUGCCAUGUUGCCCUCUGGGUUUACGCAAAUGUGGCACAGAGAAGAAUUAGGCUUUUGCAGUUUCAUGUUUCCUUGACCUUUUGAGAGAGGAAUUAAAAAUCAGAUCCAACUUCUGCUCCCAGUUACAAUGCUGAAAGUCCAGAGCAAAUAUAAUAUACUGGCUCCUGAGGUGUGGGAGCAGAAUUUCGUCUUGCCUAUUGAAAAAAGCUGAAAGAGAGAUGAGAUAUGAAGAGGUCUGAAUAAAGGCUGGAUCAUCUGAGCGCUAAACCUCUCUCCCAGGUGGGUGCAAUUACUGUGGGUGCAAUUGCUGGUGUGUAAGCAGAUUCCUUCACCUGCACUGGUGGGGGUUCUGACUUGGGAUCAGUGCAAUGUAAGGAGAAAAUACAUGUCUCCUCCAGCAUGAUGUCUGCUCAGUGUGCUGAGGAGCGUGCCGUGGGAAGAAGCUCGCAGCCAGCAGCAUCCCUGCUGUGACGCAGCUGCUGGAGCCCGGUGGUGGUGGCCGUGCCUGCUGCAGCAGCAGCAGUGGGGCAGACAGAGAAGCUGUGCCAGCACCCGUGUCGCUUGACACUUAGAAAGCCCUCGACCAUUAACGCUAAGCUCAUGCGUGCUGCUUGACAUGAAAACAUUUCCAGUUAAAGAUAAUUUCAGACUGUCGUUAUAUUGACUUACGCGAAUGUUGACAAACAAAAUCUGAUUGGAUUACGCUCUAAUGACAAGCUAUGCGUGCUUCAACAGGUUUUCUUUGUUUUGGCUUGGCUUCUUGAAUUUAUUUUCAGCCGUCCACUGCUAAGAUAUGUUUUUGUUCCGAGAGGACAAAUGCAGUGGGGGGCUGCUUCCUACCUGGAAUCUCGACAUUGCCUGGGAGAAGCUGGCUGCCAUGAAUCAUCACGGUGAUGCUGUACAGCACACACACAGCUUUUUUUUUUUUUUCCCCUUUUGGAGACAAGCACGUGGCUAUUAAACAAAGGACAAGAAGUGAGGGGAGUACACUGCAAUUUGCUAAUGUGUGGCUGGGUUCCCAGUUCCCUGUGCAUUCUUGCAGCCAGACUGCAGUCGUCAUGAUGCUAUUGCCAGGAAAGAUGUAAACAAAAGGAAACUCUCUCUGUCAGUUGAAACAUUAGGUUAAUCGUGCAAAAUAAUAUUUUGUAGUCAUUCAGGUCGAGCCAUACGCUACCUAGUUAUCAAAUAUGCUAUUCGUUCUAUACAGAUACACAGCUUCAUUGGCAUAAAGCACCAGUUUUUACAUGUCUUUAAAUCACAGCAGUAUUUACUAUGUGGUGAGUCAGGGCACUGAGCAAGGCCAUCGGACCCUGUCAUGCAGGACUGUGACUUAAAAUUCAGGUGCUUUAGGCAUGGCUCUUUUGGGAUCACUUGGAGAUUGGCAAACAGACGUUUUUCUGUUGAAGUAGUUAAACGAUCACCUUUAUGCCUCAGCCAAAUUUCACAACUGGAAAUUAUUCUGGGGUGAAGUCUCUUUUUUUCCCUAACACUGCAAUCACAGCUGCGAAACUUCACUUAAAAUCAAAGGCCGGUGUUUAUUCUGGAUUAAAACAGCUGCUAGCGAGAUGGGAACAAGACUCAAACUCUUCUUUCCCACCAUGAGGGCUUACCCAAGAGCAGUGACAGCCAUGUACCAACCUGGAACUUUUAACUUACAUUAUUUCUGUUAAACCUGCGCCAUGUCCUUGUCUAGUCGGCAUCUUUUCAGCUGUGUGUGAUGAAGACCUGCCCCGUGCAAGCCCUGGUGUUGUCCACGGACUUGCAUCUCCUGUGUCUUCAGCUGGGGUUUAGGGAGCUGCUCGAAGGCAUGAUGCUGCCCUGACACAUUUGAGGCUUGCAAAUGGCGUGGUGUAAGUAGUAGUCGUGGUGGUACUGAUGCCCUGGGAAGGGAUGUCAGAUACUCAGAAACCAUUUAACGAAAUGUUGCUCCAUGAUGGGAAGGAAUUUUCACCUUUAGCUGUUGCUACAGACUGUGACAGCAAACGCUUUUGCCACAGAUUAAAUUAUUGCAGCUUUAAUGCUGGUGUCCACCCUCUUCUGCCCCAUCCUUCUCCUUCUUUCCACUUUCUCCUUCCCUAGGGCCAAUGGUGGGACUCCCUGCUGCAGCUCUCAGUGCUGCAGCCUGUGCUCUCAGUGCUUGUUUUGCCCCAGUAGCAAGGCUGAAUGCCGUGGCAGUUUUGCUGCAUCAUCUGUGAACUGCCUGGACAGUGUCAAUCUUUUACCUUUCACUGUCAGUGACUGUGCAGAGAGACGAGGAAUGACACACACUUAGGUGCAUCGGAUGUCUCCAUCUCCCCUUAGGCCUAGGGUAGAUGUGAUUUGCCAGCGCUAGCUACAAAUUGAAGAAGUCUCAGUAUUUUAUUUUUUUUCCAUGUGAUAGGAAAGUUUUCUUCCUAAGACUAGGAAAACAACUGGAGCACCUUGAGUUAUUACCAUGAACACUUAUUUCACCACCUUCCCCCACUGAAAAAAAAAAAAAAAAAGAAAAAAGAACAUGCUAGAGGAUGACAAAUAGCACAGCCCAAUUCAUGCAAUGCAUUAACAUCUCACUGCUACACACUUUCUGGAGCAUAUACAACAAAAGAAGGAAUGAUUACAGUUCUGGUUCAAGGACCACAGCAAUCCAGCGCUGAACACGCACUUGUGAAGCAAUUCCAGAUUGCAAUUCUGAGCACCGAUAGCCAGUACAAUAGGAAAAAUAAGCCACGCUGUAUUAAGGACAUGCCUUUGAUAAUUCUCUCUUUAUAGCUAAAAGCCAGGGAUAGCUGGUAGGCUUGGCAUCCCGCUGGGGAAAUGGGACAGUUGCACAGGAAGGGGUUGCCUUUUGCCAUUUCACAUCUACGCUCCCAAUUUCCAGCCUCCAGCCUGAACCCUGUGCCUCAGCACGCAGCUGUUUGCACAAGUGACUUAUCGUGCCUCCAUGAGAUACCUGGCCCACAGAAAACAUCCUUCUCACUGCUGUACUGCUUUAACUCCUCGCAAGGCCCAUCCCCUUCUGCGAACCUUUGACAGCUUUAAAAUGUCGCAGAGCAGCAGCUUCCUGGGGACGCUCUGGGGCUGGGCAUCCUCUGGAUUCUCCGGCGGCGCUGAAGCACUCCAGCAUUUCUCUUCUUUGAAUAGAGCUGGCAAAAUCCAUAAUUGCUUCCAUUCUGCUUGGCUGGGAAAGAGAAAAAACCAGGCACCCCACCACGGGGACUGCUCAACGCAGACAGAUACGAUGGAGGCCCCUGCACCAGGGCUCACCCACCAGAGGUGAUGGCCAUCCUCAGGCUGGUUGUUUGUUUGUAAGUUUGGUUCUUUUCUGUCUGUAUUUUCUCUCUAUUUUUUUUUCCCCUUUCAUGUUUUUUUUCUUCCCCUGGGUGGAGCAGCACCGGUGAGGUGAUGACUUACCUGCCACAGCUUGGGAGAUAGCGAUCUUGAAGACAACGUUCACACAAUGCCCCAGUAGAGCUUUUCUGGCUCUGAUUUCUAUGAUUAUGUUGUUACCGGAUCAGUGAAGAGAACCAUGAAAAACACAAUUACCAGGAAGCCCUGCUCCUUUCCUUGUCUCUUUGUCUUGCUGCAGAUUGGGCAUGUGACUCACAGAGAAAUAGAAGACUGGCUGUAUUCGUUUGUAUGACCCAAAAGGGUGCUGCCUGCUGAUCAGACCCAAGCGUGGGAAAGCCUGGCCGCUGGCUGAAAAGGCCGGUCACGUCAUGUUUUGCAGCUGGCAUUCAAACGCAUCCUGGUGAAUCAGGCGAUAGCAGCUACCUUUCCUGCUACGACGGCAGCUGAGCAGGAGCAGAGGCGCUGCGAAAACCUCCCUCCUGCAUCAACAGCACGGGGAAGGGAGGAAUGAAGGUUGUGAAUGAGCUUGGUGUGGCAGGACGGCAAUUUUUGGGGGCCUUUGGCGUGGCACCAGACUAAAGGGAAAGGGGACAGGCAGGCUUUGACUGUGGGUGUUGGUGGCAGUCUUGCUCAGUGCAAACCCACCUGCGCAUCACGGGCUGCUCGGGCAGACCGUGGCUGUCCCCUUCUGAUGCACAGUGGGGAAGGAGAACCUCGUGGGCUGACUGCCACUCCAAGUAUUAUGAAUUGCUAUCAAAAAAUAUUGUCUGUCUCCAAGUUAGCACAGACUCAGCAGAUUCGAUGGGCGAGCAUGCUCCAAAGGGAUGGUUAAAAUGUGUUAUUUGCCUAUUGCGUGCUGCAAAAAUAAAUAUCCAAAGCAUGAGAGAACAAACUUUGGCAGACAAAGCGUCAACAAGCUGUGUUUGUGGGGGAAGGCUCAUAAUUUGGAGGGAACGUUGAGCUGGAAGGGAACACUGAGUAUAAAUAAGGAUAAAGUUUACCUUAAGCAGGCAUGAAAGGCAGGGCUAUGAGCCACAGCUUGGACUUUGCCAUUCUUCCAGUGAGACAACAGUCUGUAACAGGUCUGCUAUCUCGUGCUCUCUGAUGUGGCCUCACUGCAGAAAGAUACCAGCCACUGCAGGAAGGUUUUUAAAUAAUAAGGCUUUUUUUUUUGGGGGGUGGGGGGGAGGGUGCACCCCUAGUUUAUCAGUUUAUGAGUGACCAGGGAGACUGUGAAUUCCCGCAGAUGAAAGGAAAUCCCACUGUCAGAUCUUAGUAGUAAAACGUGGUAAAACUUUUAGCUGAAGUUUUGCUGCCUCUAGAUCACGAAUCUUUUUGAUCUCCCUGGGUCUCAAGAGUGGACAAAUGGUACAUGGUGCAUCGCUGGCAUGCUAUUCAUAUGGUUGUGAGGCUUAUAGACUGAAAUAUGUUAAAAUGCCAGCAUUUGCUGGUACAGCCGAGGGCAGUAACAUCAUCUGGAAACACUGCUACAGGAUUUGGUGAUUGUUGUUAUUACACGGACUGGGAAAAACCCAGCCAGAAGGCAAGGUGAAAGGAAGCCCAGCCACUUCUGCUCAGCACCCCAGAGAUAUUUCGGCCAUCCCUGGAGAUGAGCAUGGCGCUGAGGGAGUUCGUGUGGCGAAACACAGAGCGGCGCAGAGCUGCUCCAGGCCUCGUUGGCCACUUCCCGCCCAACCUCUGCCAACCCCAGCGAGGUGUGGACAGCCCCCAUGCAGAAGUGUCUUCGGAGGUUUUCCUGAGGAUCAGGGGUGGGAUGAUGGCGAUUUUUGGCCUGUGAGGAGCCCUGUGCUGAGGGCACUGCCAGGGCUGGCAGCACGGCUCUGCGCCCGAGACCUGGCAGGAUUGGUCUUGGGCUAUGAGCACUAAGAGAAAAACAGGCCGCUGGCUGGGCCUUUAUCCUCGGCCACCUCAAGUGAAGCCUUUUGGCGGUUCCGGGAGAGUGAAUUUGUAUUGAAAACCCACAGCUCUUACAAGUAGUGCAUUAAUUAUUUUAUUAAUUUGCUCUUUUUACAUUAUGGGAAACAUUCAUCUAUUUACAUUUUCCUGUCCACACACAAACUAGAUAGAUAAUCCUAUGAAAACCCAAAUCAUUAAGCCAUAAAAACACUCUCCUCUGUCUAAAGGCUUUCAAAUUUGUGUCUUUUGUUUCAAAUCAAAAACAUUUUUAAAAUCACGUUUGGGAAUGCAGGUAGGCCAGUGAUUUACAUUCCAGUUACUUAAAAUAUGCAUUUGACCUUUUUCCUUUAAAAAAGAAAAAAAAAAAGGAAAAAAAAAGAAACAACCAGAAAAACC